AGAGUUUGAUCAUGGCUCAGAACGAACGCUGGCGGCAGGCCUAACACAUGCAAGUCGAGCGCCCUCUUCGGAGGGAGCGGCGGACGGGUUAGUAACGCGUGGGAACGUACCCUUCUCUACGGAAUAGCCCAGGGAAACUUGGAUUAAUACCGUAUACGCCCUUCGGGGGAAAGAUUUAUCGGAGAGGGAUCGGCCCGCGUUAGAUUAGGUAGUUGGUGGGGUAAUGGCCCACCAAGCCUACGAUCUAUAGCUGGUUUGAGAGGAUGAUCAGCAACACUGGGACUGAGACACGGCCCAGACUCCUACGGGAGGCAGCAGUGGGGAAUCUUGGACAAUGGGCGCAAGCCUGAUCCAGCCAUGCCGCGUGAGUGACGAAGGCCCUAGGGUCGUAAAGCUCUUUCGCCUGUGAA
rnacentral:rRNA from 1 species